CCUACGGGUGGCAGCAGUGAGGAAUAUUGGUCAAUGGCCGGAAGGCUGAACCAGCCAAGCCGCGUGAAGGACGAAGGUGCCAAGCAUUGUAAACUUCUUUUGUCAAGGGACAAAAUCAGGCUCGAGAGCCUGCCCGAGGGUACUUGAAGAAAAAGCAUCGGCUAACUCCGGGCCAGCAGCCGCGGUAAUACGUAGGUGGCAAGCGUUAUCCGGAUUUAUUGGGUGUAAAGGGCGUGUAGGCGGGAGCGCAAGUCCGAUGUUAAAACUCAGGGCUCAACCCUGGGCCUGCAUUUGAAACUGUGGUUCUUGAGUGGGGGAGAAGCAAGCGGAAUUCCGGGUGUAGCGGUGAAAUGCGUAGAUAUACGGAGGAACACCAGUGGCGAAGGCGGAUUGCUGGACAGUAACUGACGCUGAGGCGCGAAAGCGUGGGGAGCAAACAGGAUUAGAUACCCUAGUAGUC
rnacentral:rRNA from 1 species